UGGAAAUGCUUCACGAGGACAAGAGUACAAGACCUAUUAACCAAUUACUGACAUAAAUCCGACUUCAAAACCACAACUUUAUUACAAUGAAAACGUUCAGACUUAAAAAACUCUGGUCACAUUAGUGAAACACGGUACUGGAAGUUACCGAAUGGAAAUUUAUGUACAUUUAUUAGACCUAACCAGGAAUAGCUACGAAAAAUGCAACCAUAGGUCCCUGGUAGGAAUCGAACCGGCGGCCCUGCGAUUCCGGUGCAGCGCUCUAACCAGCGCUCUAGGUCUAAUAAAUGUAUAAAAAUUUCCACUCGACAAUUUUCAUCUACAAGACCCUUCAACUAUUAUUGAAUCGAGUGAGAUGCAACAAAAUCUCGACAUUUACUGGAAGUUACGUCCGAACGAUCCUAUACCAGCCACUUUCUAUGGACUCCCUCAGAUUCAUAUAUAUAGGUUCAAUUAAUACCAAGAGACGACCCCCUCACUCUUCACGAAACUGAUGUUAGGAUGAGACCUAUCAACAGCUGCGUUGGUUUCCCAACUUAUUCAGUGUCUAAAUACGUCGCAAAAGUUUUGGGACGCUUGGGCUUAAGUACAUGAUGUUCAUACAGUUAAAAUUUUCAACAGUUCACAGAUCGUAUUUCUACAUAGAUUAUUGCAGAGGAUGAGAUUGUCGUUUCUUUUCAUGUAACUUCUCCGUUUACGUCUAUUCCUGCAUAUCCAGUUAGCUAUGCAGUUGGUCAAAACCAACCUUAAACAGGACGACAUACAGUUAGAAGCAACGUACACAACUCGAAUUACAACAUGUAAUACAUUUGUUGAAACUCGUACUGGAAACAUUUUCUUUGUUUACCAGGGCGUUUAUACCAGACUUUGAAAUAAAGUCGAAACAUUACGGUGAAUUUUGUUGUCUUUUUAAAAAUAGAUCGAAUCUUGAGCUUAAUUACAAGGUGUCACGCUGGUCAUAUUCAGUAAAUUUUCUCCCAGUACCGCAGGCUCGCAUUUUCAGUGGACUUGCGGUGAAAAAUCGAAACUUUUGCAUUUUUCAAGAUUUUUCAAAGAACUGGUCCAAAGCAAGAAGUCCGCUGACAAUACGAGCCCGCACAAGUGGGAGAAAUUUUGGUAAAUUUAACCAACGUGUGUUUAUGUCGAGUUUGUUUCAUCUUAUAUUUCGCGAAAUUGUCUGCUGCAUGUAAAGGAUUUCAAAUAGCCUAGGUACUCAAUAUAUG